rnacentral:rRNA from 1 species
GCAAGUCGAGGGGCAGCAUGUUCUUAGCUUGCUAAGACUGAUGGCGACCGGCGCACGGGUGCGUAACGCGUAUGUAACUUGCCUCACAGAGGUGGCUAACCCGUCGAAAGACGGACUAAUACCGCGUACACUCUAUGUUGGGCAUUCAAUGUAGAGGAAAUGAAAUUCGCUGUGAGAUAGGCAUGCGUCCCAUUAGCUAGUUGGUGAGGUAACGGCUCACCAAGGCGACGAUGGGUAGGGGACCUGAGAGGUUGAUC